rnacentral:lncRNA from 1 species
UUUUGAAGUCUGGCUCUCCCCGAGGGAAGCUGUGCUGGGAGCCAGGAGAGACUCCAGGAAGAUAUUGCACUACUGCAAAACACAAACACGUGUAAUCAUAAAAUGCAGCCCUGGGAAAUAGAAUAUGAUCAUCUCAGACUUAACAUUGUGGACAAUGGGAGACAGAUACUGCCUCUCCCUCUGCAUGAGAAAUCUUGUGUUCCCAAGCAAGUCUGGCAGGCACUUGCAGUAGCCAAGCAGCAACAUAUUUGAGCCCUUCCAAGUCAGCUUCCUAGUGGAGAAGAGAUCUGGUUCAUUCUAUGUGCUUUUUGUUCACACACCUCUGCACCAGUCCUGGCACACACAUGGUCAAAACAGCAUGCAAGGUAAAUCUCUCCCUUCAGGAAUGUUAGUCUUACCUACUUCCAGAGAGUGGUUCUGCCUUCAAGAA